UUAAAAACGACUCUCGGCAACGGAUAUCUCGGCUCUCGCAUCGAUGAAGAACGUAGCGAAAUGCGAUACUUGGUGUGAAUUGCAGAAUCCCGUGAACCAUCGAGUCUUUGAACGCAAGUUGCGCCCGAAGCCAUCCGGCCGAGGGCACGCCUGCCUGGGCGUCACACAUC
rnacentral:rRNA from 1 species